ACUCCUACGGGAGGCAGCAGUGGGGAAUUUUGGACAAUGGGGGCAACCCUGAUCCAGCCAUUCCGCGUGAGUGAAGAAGGCCUUCGGGUUGUAAAGCUCUUUCGGCAGGAACGAAACGGUGGAGGCUAAUACCUUUCAUCAAUGACGGUACCUGAAGAAGAAGCACCGGCUAACUACGUGCCAGCAGCCGCGGUAAU
rnacentral:rRNA from 1 species